UUUAUGCAUACUCCACAUACUGUAGCUCAAGUGUAUGACAGCAUGCAACCUUAAUCAAACUUUUAACCUGACAAAGUGUCUCAUAACUUGUAAAAAUUAUAAUUUGUGUGAACUUGGUUGUUUAUUCUACAGUCAUAUUAAA